rnacentral:rRNA from 1 species
ACUCCUGCGGGAGGCAGCAGUGGGGAAUAUUGGACAAUGGGCGAAAGCCUGAUCCAGCAAUGCCGCGUGAGUGAUGAAGGCCUUAGGGUUGUAAAGCUCUUUUACCCGGGAUGAUAAUGACAGUACCGGGAGAAUAAGCCCCGGCUAACUCCGUGCCAGCAGCCGCGGUAAUACGGAGGGGGCUAGCGUUGUUCGGAAUUACUGGGCGUAAAGCGCGCGUAGGCGGCUUUGUAAGUUAGAGGUGAAAGCCCGGAGCUCAACUUCGGAAUUGCCUUUAAGACUGCAUCGCUAGAAUCGUGGAGAGGUGAGUGGAAUUCCGAGUGUAGAGGUGAAAUUCGUAGAUAUUCGGAAGAACACCAGUGGCGAAGGCGACUCACUGGACACGUAUUGACGCUGAGGUGCGAAAGCGUGGGGAGCAAACAGGAUUAGAAACCCCAGUAGUCCCAUG